CCCUUAGAUGUUCUGGGCAGCACGCGCGCUACAAUGGUCUUCGCAAACGGAUGCAUUCUCGAAGGAGAAUGCCAAUCUUGGAAUCUAUGCCUUGGUCGGGACAGUUGCUUGCAAUUUUUCGACUCGAACCAGGAAUUCCCUGUAAUCGUGAUUCAUCACAUCACGAUGAAUACGUCCCUGCCCUUUGUACACACCGCCCGUCGCCCCUACCGAUCGAAGAGUUAGGUGAAUUGUUUUGAUCGAUAAGAUUUGACUAUGGUCAACUCUCGUUGUGAAAUUCUGUGAAUCUGACUGUUUAGAGGAAGGAAAAGUCGUAACA
rnacentral:rRNA from 1 species